ACCUCAGGGUAUAAACGAGGAAGGCCAAGGAAGAACUGUCAGAAAACAGUGACAGAGAAUAUUGAAUGCUUUGUCAUCAUCUGGGAACAAGUAUCACAACUAGCAAGUGACCUUAAAUCAACAGAGGAACUCAACUGUCCAAUCUGUCAGCUAUUCAGAAGGAACUAAGGUCUAAGGAAUUUCCUGUAAGCGGUGUGAAUGGUGAUAUGAAAAUAAGCAUCUUGGUGGUCGAGGGCUGAAAAUCAGUCCCCCUUUGCAGUGCUGCAAGUAUCGUGACUAGUGUGACCAUCUUGAACUUUUGAGAGCAUAUGAAUUUAUUGAGCUUCGUAAGGUCCAAGGUGUGGUAUAAAUCCCCAGAAUGCACAGAGUGGCCUGAGAGUCCUUCAUUGAGUGGAUCACCUCAUCAGUCUUAUUCAAAAACGACAUUUCUUGAUCAAAUGUUCCUCCAAC